ACAGCAGCAGCCGCGGUAAUACAGAGGGUGCAAGCGUUAAUCGGAAUUACUGGGCGUAAAGCGCGCGUAGGUGGUUUGUUAAGUUGGAUGUGAAAGCCCCGGGCUCAACCUGGGAACUGCAUCCAAAACUGGCAAGCUAGAGUACGGUAGAGGGUGGUGGAAUUUCCUGUGUAGCGGUGAAAUGCGUAGAUAUAGGAAGGAACACCAGUGGCGAAGGCGACCACCUGGACUGAUACUGACACUGAGGUGCGAAAGCGUGGGGAGCAAACAGGAUUAGAUACCCCUGUAGUCCCUGUCUCUUAUAA
rnacentral:rRNA from 1 species